GCAUUGGUAGCUCAGUGCAAGAGCGCCGGUCUUGUAAACCGGAUGACGGAGGUUGAAAUCCUCCCCCAUGCU
rnacentral:tRNA from 1 species